GUGGAUAUAGUUCAAUGGUAGAACAGCUGUAUGCAUAGUAUAUCCUUGUUCGAAUCAAGGUAUCCACC
rnacentral:tRNA from 1 species